UGGGGAUAACCUUGCGAAAGUAAGACUAAUACCCAAUGAUAUCUCUAGAAGACAUCUGAAAGAGAUUAAAGAUUUAUCGGUGAUGGAUGGGGAUGCGUCUGAUUAGCUUGUUGGCGGGGUAACGGCCCACCAAGGCUACGAUCAGUAGGGGUUCUGAGAGGAAGGUCCCCCACAUUGGAACUGAGACACGGUCCAAACUCCUACGGGAGGCAGCAGUGAGGAAUAUUGGUCAAUGGACGAGAGUCUGAACCAGCCAAGUAGCGUGCAGGAUGACGGCCCUAUGGGUUGUAAACUGCUUUUAUAAGGGAAUAAAGUGAGAGUCGUGACUCUUUUUGCAUGUACCUUAUGAAUAAGGACCGGCUAAUUCCGUGCCAGCAGCCGCGGUAAUACGGAAGGUCCGGGCGUUAUCCGGAUUUAUUGGGUUUAAAGGGAGCGUAGGCCGGAGAUUAAGCGUGUUGUGAAAUGUAGAUGCUCAACAUCUGAACUGCAGCGCGAACUGGUUUCCUUGAGUACGCACAAAGUGGGCGGAAUUCGUGGUGUAGCGGUGAAAUGCUUAGAUAUCACGAAGAACUCCGAUUGCGAAGGCAGCUCACUGGAGCGCAACUGACGCUGAAGCUCGAAAGUGCGGGUAUCGAACAGGAUUAGAUACCCUGGUAGUCCGCACGGUAAACGAUGGAUGCCCGCUGUUGGCCUGAAUAGGUCAGCGGCCAAGCGAAAGCAUUAAGCAUCCCACCUGGGGAGUACGCCGGCAACGGUGAAACUCAAAGGAAU
rnacentral:rRNA from 1 species